rnacentral:rRNA from 1 species
GCGAACAACCCUGGAAUUUUGGAACAGUUGGAAAUAUUUUGGUAGUGGAAGGAA